rnacentral:tRNA from 2 species
GCGGCCGUAGUCUAGCCUGGUAGGAUGGCGGCCCCCCAAGCCGCAGGUCCCGGGUUCGAAUCCCGGCGGCCGCACCA